rnacentral:rRNA from 2 species
UGAUUAGAAGCUUGCUUCUAUGACGUUAGCGGCGGACGGGUGAGUAACACGUGGGCAACCUGCCUGUAAGACUGGGAUAACUUCGGGAAACCGAAGCUAAUACCGGAUAGGAUCUUCUCCUUCAUGGGAGAUGAUUGAAAGAUGGUUUCGGCUAUCACUUACAGAUGGGCCCGCGGUGCAUUAGCUAGUUGGUGAGGUAACGGCUCACCAAGGCAACGAUGCAUAGCCGACCUGAGAGGGUGAUCGGCCACACUGGGACUGAGACACGGCCCAGACUCCUACGGGAGGCAGCAGUAGGGAAUCUUCCGCAAUGGACGAAAGUCUGACGGAGCAACGCCGCGUGAGUGAUGAAGGCUUUCGGGUCGUAAAACUCUGUUGUUAGGGAAGAACAAGUACAAGAGUAACUGCUUGUACCUUGACGGUACCU